AUGGAUGACAACCUCAAAGUCAUUUUAUGGAACAUGCGCGGGCUCAAUAACGCGGCCAAGCGCAUGACUGUUCACUCUGUAAUUGCUUCGGCGUCACCCUGUAUUGUCUGCCUCCAGGAAUCUAAGCUUGCUUUGGUCUCGUCCACGCUUGUCUGUGAGACUCUUGGCCCCGCUUUUGAUGGGUUCUACUAGCUGCCCACGGAGGGCAUUCGCGGUGGCAUCAUCCUCUCUUGGAACAGCGCCAUGAUCUUCCUAUCUAACCCGAUCGUUGGUGAUCACCAUGUCUCGGCCGAGGUUACCGCCACCUUGGGCGGUGCCCACUGGUGGAUUACUAGGGUUUAUGGCCCCCAAGGGGACGACGCCAAGUUGGCCUUUCUGGCCGAACUUCAGCAACUCCGCUCCUCCAUGGCUGGGCCUUGGCUACUUGGUGGAGAUUUUAACAUGAUUGCCUCGGCUCGCGAUAGGAACAACGACCGGAUCAAUAGGCGCACGAUGAACAGAUUUCGGCGCUUCAUCUCGGACCAUGACCUCCACGACAUCUACUUACAUGGGCGACGCUACACUUGGUCUAACGAACAAGACAACCCGACCCUUGUGUGCAAUGAUCGUGUGCUUUGCACACCUGCCUGGGAGCUCGACCACGCUCACUGCCUUCUGCGAUGUUUACCGUCAGCGGUUUCGGACCACUCCCCUCUCCUCCUAGACUGCACCACCCGGGCGGCCGGCGGCAGGCGUUUCCACUUCCAGAUGUUGGGGAACGUAGUAAUUCAAAAAAGUUCCUACGAUCACGCAAGAUCUAUCUAG
rnacentral:rRNA from 1 species